rnacentral:rRNA from 1 species
CAGUCGAGGGGCAGCAUUUUAGUUUGCUUGCAAACUAAAGAUGGCGACCGGCGCACGGGUGAGUAACACGUAUUCAACCUGCCGAUAACUCAGGGAUAGCCUUUCGAAAGAAAGAUUAAUACCUGAUGGCAUAGGAUUAUCGCAUGAUAAUCCUAUUAAAGAAUUUCGGUUAUCGAUGGGGAUGCGUUCCAUUAGGCAGUUGGUGAGGUAACGGCUCACCAAACCUUCGAUGGAUAGGGGUUCUGAGAGGAAGGUCCCCCACAUUGGAACUGAGACACGGUCCAAACUCCUACGGGAGGCAGCAGUGAGGAAUAUUGGUCAAUGGACGGGAGUCUGAACCAGCCAAGUAGCGUGAAGGAUGACUGCCCUAUGGGUUGUAAACUUCUUUUAUACGGGAAUAAAGUGAUCCACGUGUGGGUUUUUGUAUGUACCGUAUGAAUAAGGAUCGGCUAACUCCGUGCCAGCAGCCGCGGUAAUACGGAGGAUCCGAGCGUUAUCCGGAUUUAUUGGGUUUAAAGGGAGCGUAGGUGGAUUGUUAAGUCAGUUGUGAAAGUUUGCGGCUCAACCGUAAAAUUGCAGUUGAUACUGGCAGUCUUGAGUACAGUAGAGGUGGGCGGAAUUCGUGGUGUAGCGGUGAAAUGCUUAGAUAUCACGAAGAACUCCGAUUGCGAAGGCAGCUCACUGGACUGCAACUGACACUGAUGCUCGAAAGUGUGGGUAUCAAACAGGAUUAGAUACCCUGGUAGUCCACACAGUAAACGAUGAGUACUCGCU